AUUGAACGCUGGCGGUAUGCUUAACACAUGCAAGUCGAACGGCAGCAUGGUCUAGCUUGCUAGACUGAUGGCGAGUGGCGGACGGGUGAGUAACGCGUAGGAAUAUGCCUUGAAGAGUGGGACAACUUGGGGAAACUCGAGCUAAUACCGCAUGUACUCGAGAGAGCAAAGCUGGGGACCUUUAGGCCUGGCGCUUUAAGAUUAGCCGGCGUCCGAUUAGCUAGUUGGUAGGGUAAAGGCCUACCAAGGCGACGAUCGGUAGCUGGUCUGAGGGGAUGAUCAGGCUCACUGGAACGGAGAGACGGUCCAGACUCCUGCGGGAGGCAGCAGUGGGGAAUAUUGGACAAUGGGGGGAACCCUGAUCCAGCAAUGCCGCGUGUGUGAAGAAGGCCUGAGGGUUGUAAAGCACUUUCAGUGGGGAGGAGGUUUGGAAGGUUAAGAGCUAUUCAAAUGGACGUUACCCACAGAAGAAGCACCGGCUAACUCCGUGCCAGCAGCCGCCGUAA
rnacentral:rRNA from 1 species